rnacentral:piRNA from 1 species
UGUGAACUACGCUGCCUAAGGAAAGGGUC